AUGCAGCAUCAUCAAGAUUCUCAUCUUCUGUGCCUUUGACUUGUCGUAGCGAGGAUGAGAUCUUGCAGUGCUCCAAACUGAGGUGCUUCGCCUUCAGCGAUCUCAAAACCGCCACCAGGAAUUUCCGUCUCGAUAGCGUAUUGGGAGAGGGGGGCUUCGGUUCUGUCUUCAAGGGAUGUGAAUCUUGAUGAUGCUGCAC
rnacentral:pre_miRNA from 1 species